rnacentral:pre_miRNA from 1 species
AGGCAUUCAGCGUCAUAGGUGGACAUGCUAACCUCUGCACUACGGUGGCCUCGAAUUUCCCGUUUUUCAACAUCUUACCAAUCCACUUCGAAGGCCACCGUAGCGCAGAGGUUAGCAUGUCCGUCUAUGACGCUGAAUGCC